AGAGUUUGAUCAUGGCUCAGGAUGAACGCUAGCGGGAGGCCUAACACAUGCAAGCCGAGCGGUAUUUGUUCUUCGGAACAGAGAGAGCGGCGCACGGGUGCGGAACACGUGUGCAACCUGCCUUUAUCUGGGGGAUAGCCUUUCGAAAGGAAGAUUAAUACCCCAUAAUAUAUUGAGUGGCAUCACUUAAUAUUGAAAACUCCGGUGGAUAGAGAUGGGCACGCGCAAGAUUAGAUAGUUGGUGAGGUAACGGCUCACCAAGUCAAUGAUCUUUAGGGGGCCUGAGAGGGUGAUCCCCCACACUGGUACUGAGACACGGACCAGACUCCUACGGGAGGCAGCAGUGAGGAAUAUUGGACAAUGGGUUAGCGCCUGAUCCAGCCAUCCCGCGUGAAGGACGACGGCCCUAUGGGUUGUAAACUUCUUUUGUAUAGGGAUAAACCUACUCUCGUGAGAGUAGCUGAAGGUACUAUACGAAUAAGCACCGGCUAACUCCGUGCCAGCAGCCGCGGUAAUAC
rnacentral:rRNA from 1 species